AACGAACGCUGGCGGCAGGCUUAACACAUGCAAGUCGAACGGGCACCUUCGGGUGUCAGUGGCAGACGGGUGAGUAACGCGUGGGAACGUACCCUUCGGUUCGGAAUAACCCAGGGAAACUUGGGCUAACACCGGAUACGUCCGCAAGGAGAAAGAUUUAUCGCCGAAGGAUCGGCCCGCGUCGGAUUAGCUAGUUGGUGGGGUAAUGGCCCACCAAGGCGACGAUCCGUAGCUGGUCUGAGAGGAUGANCAGCCACACUGGGACUGAGACACGGCCCAGACUCCUACGGGAGGCAGCAGUGGGGAAUUGUCCGCAAUGGGCGCAAGCCUGACGACGCAACGCCGCGUGGAGGAUGAAGAUUUUCGGAUCGUAAACUCCUGUCGAAUGGGACGAAUAGAUUGCGGGUUAACAGCCCGUAGUCCUGACGGUACCGUUAAAGGAAACCCCGGCUAACUCCGUGCCAGCAGCAGCCGCCGCCGUAAC
rnacentral:rRNA from 1 species